GGAAGAUAAUGUAAUGUUUACUUUGUUCGAGCAUAAAAUCACAUGAAAUUUGUUUCGGUUUCGGUAGUUUUAUUUAGAUUUCAUAACCAACACUAACAAAUUGCAUAUAUAGAAAAUCAUUUACGGGAAGUUGAUAGUAAACGGACUGUAGAGGUUAAUCCAGAAUAGACACUGUGUAAUUUGUCAUCAAUGGGAUGUUAGGAGUACGUGUAUAGCACAUUAAUAAUAACGAUACAGGCCGAGUUGAGAGUGCUCUAGGGGCGCCUUUUGUGUUUGGAAAAUGCUUCUUGAUUAUAAUGGAGGAAGACGCUUUGUGCACGAUAUUUGUAAAAUGUGAGAGUUCUACAAUCACAAUAAUAACAAAACUAUCGAACACAGUGAAGAACGUGAAAAUCAAAGUUAGUAAAAAAGCAGGAAUAGCUUUAGACAGAAUAAAACUGAGAUAUGCUGGACACUAUCUACAGAAUGAUAGGACGUUAGCUGAUUAUCCAAUACACAAUGAAUCGACGUUAUUUCUUGACCGAGAAUAUUGGUAAACAAUGUUACAGAUUCUAUAAAACUAACAAGUAAAUUGAUAACACACGAACAUUGUAAAUAAGGAAACUUUCGAGCGGCGUAAUAUAAGCGUUUUCAAUAGCAACGGAUAGUGUAGUGAUUACAGAAAUAAUCAGUUCGCGAAUAGACGAUUGUUAAACUGGCCGGAAAAUUCCGUUAAAUUUAGGUUACCCAAAAGUUUUAAACGAUUCUGUUUCAAGGUUCUUUUAAAAGUUAUUUAUCUUACAAAAAAGUAAGCUAUGAAACUGAAAGAAGGCUUGCCUUUUCGAGACAUUCGUGUAAAUCUUAAAAUUCCGGCUGUAAAGCAAAUUCACCCAAAUCAGAUUGAAAAAGCGUAGAAUUAACAGAAAUUAGAGUGCAGCAAAUUUAUUGGAUAGUGUACAAAUUCUGACGGAAAGUUGACAAAUCUUGACAUCGCAUAAUUAAGAAUCGAAAGACUUUUGGAUAUAUCGGAUAAGCUAUUUGAAUGUGUGUGUUUUUUUUUUUUUUUUUUUGAAAACGCGUAUAAGUUAUAGUUCCAAAAAUUUGCAAAAACAUAUACACCACGAACAUAUCCCAGUUUAGUGUAGAUUUAUCAGUCAAUGAUUUGGAUAAUGAUUAUGAUGAUAAAGGCUAUUGAAUAAUUGUAACCAAAACCAUGAAAUGAUCUCAUUGAUUCUGAAUUGCAUUGUUUAUAAUGGGCUAAUAAAGUUUUCAAACAUGUGUCAA